rnacentral:rRNA from 1 species
CGGUGGAGCAUGUGGUUUAAUUCGACGCAACGCGAAGAACCUUACCAGGGCUUGACAUCCUCUGACCGCAUAUGAAAGUAUGUUUUCUGGCUUCGGUCAGACAGAGAGACAGGUGGUGCAUGGUUGUCGUCAGCUCGUGUCGUGAGAUGUUGGGUUAAGUCCCGCAACGAGCGCAACCCCUACGUUUAGUUGCUAACGUGUAACGAUGAGCACUCUAGGCGGACUGCCGUUGACAAAACGGAGGAAGUGGGGAUGACGUCAAAUCAUCAUGCCCCUUAUGUUCUGGGCUACACACGUGCUACAAUGGCCGGUACAAAGGGACGCAAAGCCGCGAGGUGGAGCAAAUCCGAUAAAAGCCGGUCUCAGUUCGGAUUGCAGGCUGCAAUUCGCCUGCAUGAAGUCGGAAUCGCUAGUAAUCGCAGGUCAGCAUACUGCGGUGAAUACGUUCCCGGGCCUU